GACGAACGCUGGCGGCGUGCUUAACACAUGCAAGUCGAACGGAAAGGCCCUGCUUUUGUGGGGUGCUCGAGUGGCGAACGGGUGAGUAACACGUGAGUAACCUGCCCUUGACUUUGGGAUAACUUCAGGAAACUGGGGCUAAUACCGGAUAGGAGCUCCUGCUGCAUGGUGGGGGUUGGAAAGUUUCGGCGGUUGGGGAUGGACUCGCGGCUUAUCAGCUUGUUGGUGGGGUAGUUGCUUACCAAGGCUUUGACGGGUAGCCGGCCUGAGAGGGUGACCGGCCACAUUGGGACUGAGGUACGGCCCAGACUCCUACGGGAGGCAGCAGUGGGGAAUAUUGCACAAUGGGCGGGAGCCUGAUGCAGCAACGCCGCGUGCGGGAUGACGGCCUUCGGGUUGUAAACCGCUUUCGCCUGUGACGAAGCGUGAGUGACGGUAAUGAGUAAAGAAGCACCGGCUAACUACGUG
rnacentral:rRNA from 1 species